rnacentral:rRNA from 1 species
UCGAGAGGCUUCGGCAAUGGGGGAAACCCUGACCGAGCGACGCCGCGUGGGUGAUGAAGAUUCUCGGAUCGUAAAACCCUGUCAGGUGGGAUGAAAAACCAUUCGGUUAAUACCCGAGUGGCUUGACAGUACCACCAGAGGAAGCUCCGGCCAACUCCGUGCCAGCAGCCGCGGUAAGACGGAGGGCGCAAGCGUUGUUCGGAAUUACUGGGCGUAAAGCGCGGGCAGGCGGUCUGUUAAGUCGUUUGUGAAAAUCCGGGGCUCAACCCCGGAAAUGCAUACGAUACUGGCAGGCUGGAGACUGGUAGAGGCUAGCGGAAUUCCUGGUGUAGCGGUGGAAUGCGUAGAUAUCAGGAAGAACACCUGUGGCGAAGGCGGCUAGCUGGGCCAGUUCUGACGCUCAUCCGCGAAAGCGUGGGGAGCAAACAGGAUUAGAUACCCCCGUAGUCCCUGAGCGGGCUGGCAAGGCGCAU